rnacentral:rRNA from 1 species
AAUGAACGCUAGCGGCAGGCCUAACACAUGCAAGUCGAGGGGUAACUAGAGUGAUAGCAAUAUUACUUUGGCUAGACCGGCGCACGGGUGCGUAACACGUAUGCAACCUACCUUAUACUGGGGAAUAACUUCGAGAAAUCGGCGCUAAUACCCCAUAACAUUGCGAAGAGGCAUCUCUUUGCAAUUAAAGCUCCGGCGGUAUAAGAUGGGCAUGCGUCCAAUUAGCUAGUUGGUGUGGUAACGGCUCACCAAGGCUACGAUUGGUAGGGGUUCUGAGAGGAUGGUCCCCCACACUGGUACUGAGACACGGACCAGACUCCUACGGGAGGCAGCAGUGAGGAAUAUUGCGCAAUGGACGAAAGUCUGACGCAGCCAUGCCGCGUGCAGGAUGACGGCCCUAUGGGUUGUAAACUGCUUUUGUACGGGAAUAAACCCUUCUACGUGUAGGAGGCUGAAGGUACCGUAAGAAUAAGCACCGGCUAACUCCGUGCCAGCCGCCGCAGUAAAAC